UACGAAGGGGGCGAGCGUUGUUCGGAAUUACUGGGCGUAAAGGGCUCGUAGGCGGCCAACUAAGUCAGACGUGAAAUCCCUCGGCUUAACCGGGGAACUGCAUCUGAUACUGGAUGGCUUGAGUUCGGGAGAGGGAUGCGGAAUUCCAGGUGUAGCGGUGAAAUGCGUAGAUAUCUGGAGGAACACCGGUGGCGAAGGCGGCAUCCUGGACCGGCACUGACGCUGAGGAGCGAAAGCCAGGGGAGCAAACGGG
rnacentral:rRNA from 1 species